rnacentral:rRNA from 1 species
AGUUUGAUCCUGGCUCAGAACGAACGUUGGCGGCGUGGAUUAGGCAUGCAAGUCGUGGGAAUCCCAGCAAUGGGGGAACCGGCGUAAGGGGCAGUAAGGCAUAGGUACCUACCCUCGGGUUCGGGAUAGCUCUUGGAGACAAGAGGUAAUACCGGAUGAUGUCGUGAGACCAAAGGUCCGCCGCCCGGGGAGGGGCCUAUGUGAUAUUAGCUAGUUGGUGAGGUAACGGCUCACCAAGGCGAAGAUGUCUAGCGGGUGUGAGAGCACGACCCGCGCCACUGGCACUGAGACACUGGCCAGACACCUACGGGUGGCUGCAGUCGAGGAUCUUCGGCAAUGGGCGCAAGCCUGA